rnacentral:tRNA from 1 species
GACCCCAUCGUCUAGUCAGGUCAGGACGUCACCCUUUCAAGGUGAAAACACGGGUUCGAAUCCCGUUGGGGUCCCCA